ACGGGAGGCAGCAGUGAGGAAUAUUGGUCAAUGGUCGUAAGACUGAACCAGCCAAGUAGCGUGAAGGAUGACUGCCCUAUGGGUUGUAAACUUCUUUUGUAUGGGAAUAAAGUCACUUACGUGUAGGUGUUUGUAUGUACCAUACGAAUAAGCAUCGGCUAAUUCCGUGCCAGCAGCCGCGGUAAUACGGAAGAUGCGAGCGUUAUCCGGAUUUAUUGGGUUUAAAGGGAGCGUAGGCGGACUGAUAAGUCUGUGGUGAAAUGUCAAGGCCCAACCUUGUCAUGCCGCGGAUACUGUUGGUCUUGAAUACACACAAGGAAGGUGGAAUUCGUCGUGUAGCGGUGAAAUGCUUAGAUAUGACGAAGAACUCCGAUUGCGAAGGCAGCCUUCUGGGGUGCGAUUGACGCUGAGGCUCGAAAGCGCGGGUAUCAAACAGGAUUAGAUACCCUGGUA
rnacentral:rRNA from 1 species